UUUGAGUUUCUGUACAAAUGUGAAAUCCGGUUUGGUUAAACCGGCUAAAAAAGUUUAUUUAUGGUUUGUUUCGUAUUUCAUCUUAUCGUUAUGGCUUCCGUUGCUUUGCCGGCGUUAAGCUGCCGGAGCUCAGGAGAACAAGUGAAGGAAAUUCGCGUAUGCACGAAUCGAACAUGCCGGAGACAAGGCUCCUUCCAGAUUCUCGAGACUUUAACGGCUCUCGCACCUCCUGAACUCCGAGUCACUCCCAGCGGUUGCCUCGGCCGAUGUGGCGCCGGUCCAAACCUCGUUGCUCUCCCUCAAGGUCUCAUCCUCCGUCACUGCGCCACGCCUUCUCGUGCUGCUGAAAUCUUGUUCAGCCUCUGUGGUGACGGUCGUGAAGCUUCUUCCUCCUUCGUCGUCACAGACGCUCUCACUGCUUUAGCGCUCACCAACAAUGCCCUCUCUCAAAUCGAUGUGGGAAACUUCUCGGAAGCUGAAGCACUUCUCACUCAGGCGUUAGAGCUGAAGCCAUACGGUGGCUUGCAUAGAAUCUUCAAACAUAGAGCAGUAGCAAAAUUGGGAAUGCUUGAUUACUCUGGGGCUCUUGAAGAUAUAAACCGAGCUCUGGCCUUAGCUCCCAACUAUUCUGAGCCCUACAUUUGCCAAGGUGAUGUCUACGUAGCAGAAGGUCAAUAUGAUCUUGCAGAAAAUUCAUACUUGAAAUGUCUAGAGAUAGAUCCUUCUCUUCGCAGAUCUAAGUCAUUCAAGUCCCGGAUUGCAAACCUUCAAAAGAAAGUUGUUGAAGUAGAUGUGACAUAGAAGUAUUCUGACAUUGGGAGUUAUAUUGGAUGCAUACUAAUAGAUCUCUACGUGUUUGUCAUUGAAAAGUGAUCAUCCACUCCGCAGAUGAACCAUAGCUUUCCAACUUCUGAUAUGAUAAUUGAGUCGUUGCCUUUGGUGAAGAGGGAUGUGUAGUUGUCUGUUCCACAAUUUGUGUAUGCUGUAGAGUUAACUUGCAUAACAUUAUGCUGGUCACUUUUGUAGUUGAAUACUGUUGAAGAAGAUCAACAGAUUAGCAAGGUGAAUACUGAAAACAAAACUUAUUAUUAUUUCUUACCAUUGAUAUGGAACAGAGGGCUGCAGAAGAAGUGAGA